CGAGCCCGCAAGACGCCGCUACCGCCGAGCGCAGCGCCGCGACGGUUGACGUGCUCGUCAAGCUGGGGGACUACGGAAUCAGCCGCCUGGCGCCACCUUCGGGAACCAAGGGUUUCGGAGGCACCGAGGGCUUCAUGGCGCCGGAGAUCAUGCGUUACAACGGGGAAGAAGAAUACAACGAGAAGGUUGACUGCUUCUCAUACGGUAUGCUGCUGUACGAGAUCGUGACGUUGCGCCAGCCGUUCGAGGGCCACGAGGCUGUCAAGGAAGCUGUCCUGGACGGCGCCAGGCCCACUCUUUCACCACGGG